rnacentral:rRNA from 1 species
UUGGAGGGCAAGUCUGGUGCCAGCAGCCGCGGUAAUUCCAGCUCCAAUAGCGUAUAUUAAAGUUGUUGCAGUUAAAAAGCUCGUAGUUGAAUUUCGGGAUCAGAGUGUCGGUCGUGCCUCGGUACGCACUGGUAUUAUUGGUUCCUGCCUUCUGAAGAACCGCGAUGUCAUUAAUUUGGUGUCGUGGGGAAUCAGGCCUGUUACUUUGAAAAAAUUAGAGUGUUUAAAGCAGGCUUACGCUUGAAUACAUUAGCAUGGAAUAAUGAAAUAGGACGUUUGAUUCUAUUUUGUUGGUUUCUAGGAUUGACGUAAUGAUUAAUAGGGAUAGUUGGGGGCAUUAGUAUUCAAUUGUCAGAGGUGAAAUUCUUGGAUUUAUUGAAGACUAACUACUGCGAAAGCAUUUGCCAAGGAUGUUUUCAUUAAUCAAGAACGAAAGUUAGGGGAUCGAAGACGAUCAGAUACCGUCGUAGUCUUAACCAUAAACUAUGCCGACUAGGGAUCGGAUGAUGUUAACUUUUUAAUGACUCAUUCGGUGCCUUACGGGAAACCAAAGUGUUUGGGUUC